UACGGGGGGGGCAAGCGUUGUUCGGAAUUACUGGGCGUAAAGGGCUCGUAGGUGGCCAACUAAGUCAGACGUGAAAUCCCUCGGCUUAACCGGGGAACUGCGUCUGAUACUGGAUGGCUUGAGUUUGGGAGAGGGAUGCGGAAUUCCAGGUGUAGCGGUGAAAUGCGUAGAUAUCUGGAGGAACACCGGUGGCGAAGGCGAUCUUCUGGUCUGUUUCUGACACUCAGACGCGACAGCUAGGGUAGUAAACGGG
rnacentral:rRNA from 1 species